GCUCCCGUAACCCAGUGGUUAGAGCGUCCGUCUCGGAUGCGGGAGGUCAUGGUCGUGGGUUCGAUCCCAGCUAGAGUCA